rnacentral:rRNA from 1 species
AUUGAACGCUGGCGGCAGGCCUAACACAUGCAAGUCGAGCGAGCGGCGGACGGGUGAGUAAUGUAUGGGGACUGCCCGAUAGAGGGGGAUAACUACUGGAAACGGUGGCUAAUACCGCAUACUAUCGGAUAACCCAUAUGGGAUUAGCUAGUAGGUGGGGUAAAGGCUCACCUAGGCGACGAGCUCUAGCUGGUCUGCGAGGAUGUUUAGCCCCACUGCACCUAGGAACCGGCCCAGACUCCUCCGGAGGCAUCAGUGGGGAAUAUUGCACCAUGGGCGAAAGUCUGAUGCAGACAGGCCGCGUGUAUGAAGAAGGCCUUCGGGUUGUAAAGUACUUUCAGCGGUGAGGCGUUACCCGAAGAAGAAGCACCGGCUAACUCCGUGCCAGCAGCCGCGGUAAUAC